CGGGGUAUAGCUCAGAUGGAUAGAGCGUCCCCCUCCUAAGGGGAAGGUCGGCAGUUCGAACCUGCCUACCUCGACCA
rnacentral:tRNA from 1 species